UUCCUUUCCCCGUUCGGUUCAACUUCGGUUUGCUCACCGCUCGAGUUGUUGGUCCUCCUUCCUCCGCAAUCCUCGCCUCGAGUUCGCUCGCGGUGGGAGGAGGAACUGGGGCGCGAGGAUGAGCGUGAUCGACAUCCUGACGCGGGUGGACGCGAUCUGCCAGAAGUACGACAAAUACGACGUCGACCGGCUCAACGGCGCCAACGUCGCCGGCGACGACCCCUUCGCCCGCCUCUACGCCUCCGUCGACUCCGACAUCAACCAAUGCGUGGAGAAAGCGGAGACCGCGAAGCAGGAGAAGAACCGGGCCGCGGUGGUCGCGCUCAACGCCGAGAUCCGGCGCACAAAGGCCAAGCUCCUCGAGGAGGACCUGCCCAAGCUGCAGCGCCUCGCGCUGAAGAAGGUGAAAGGGCUCACAAAAGAAGAAAUUGCGACCCGUAGUGAUCUGGUUGCCGCCUUACCUGAUAGAAUACAAUCAAUACCAGAUGGUAGUUCUACGGCAACAAAGAAAAAUGGAACUUGGGGAGCUUCAGGAUCCCGCACUGGAGGAGCCAUUAAGUUCGACUCUACUGCUGAUGGGAACUUUGACAAUGAGUACUUUAAGGGGACAGAAGAAUCAAAUCAGUUUCGUCGGGAAUAUGAGAUGCGCAAAAUGAAACAGGAUGAAGGUUUGGAUGUCAUUGGUGAAGGACUGGAAACUCUGAAAAAUAUGGCAUCUGAUAUGAAUGAGGAAUUGGAUAGACAAGUUCCACUGAUGGAUGAGUUGGAUGAUAAGGUGGAUAAAGCCAAUGCAGAUUUGAAGAAUACCAACGUGAGACUAAAGGAAACUGUUCUUCAGCUGAGAUCCAGUCGCAACUUCUGCAUCGAUAUCAUCCUUCUUUGUGUUAUUCUUGGCAUUGCGGCCUACCUUUACAAAUCUGGAGUGGAAGCUUAUAUAUGUUGGAUCCGCUGAAGAUGAAAACUAUGAUCAGCAACUUGAGAGCGUGCUUGUUGGUCCUGUCAAUGUUGGGACCUACCGUUUCGUACUCCAGGCUGACCCACCAGAUCCCACAAAGAUCCGUGAAGAAGACAUAAUUGGUGUGACCGUGCUGCUAUUGACAUCCUCUUACAUGGGACAGGAGUUCAUGAGAGUAGGUUACUACGUGAACAAUGAUUAUGAUGAUGAGCAACUGAGAGAAGAGCCCCCAGCAAAGGUGCUGAUCGACAGGGUGCAGAGAAAUAUUUUGGCUGACAAGCCACGGGUCACCAAGUUUCCUAUCAA